rnacentral:rRNA from 1 species
CCUACGGGUGGCAGCAGUGGGGAAUAUUGCACAAUGGGGGAAACCCUGAUGCAGCGACGCCGCGUGAGUGAAGAAGUAUUUCGGUAUGUAAAGCUCUAUCAGCAGGGAAGAAGCAAGACGGUACCUGACUAAGAAGCCCCGGCUAACUACGUGCCCGCAGCCGAGGUCAUACGUAGGGGGCAAGCGUUAUCCGGAUUUACGGGGUGUAAAGGGAGCGUAAACGGUAUGGCAAGUCUGAAGUGAAAGCCCAGGGCUUAAACCUGGGAGUGCUGUUGAAACUGUUAGACUCGAGUGCUGGAGAGGUAAGUGGAAUUACUAGUGUAGCGGUGAAAUGCGUAGAUAUUAGGAAGAACAGCAGUGGCGAAGGCGGCUUACUGGACAGUAACUGACGUUGAGGCUCGAAAGCGUGGGGAGCAAACAGGAUUAGAUACCCUUGUAGUC